rnacentral:rRNA from 1 species
AUAUCAGUAAGCGGAGGAAAAGAAACUAACAAGGAUUCCCCUAGUAACGGCGAGUGAAGCGGGAAAAGCUCAAGUUUAGAAUCGGUGCUCGUUAGAGUGCUGAGUUGUAAUCUAAAGACGUUGUGUCAGUGGUGACCCGGGUAUAACUCCCUUGGAAAAGGGGAUCAUAGAGGGUGAUAAUCCCGUCUUUGACUCGGAGUUCGCCGCGUACGAUGCAUAGUCAUAGAGUCGGGUUGUUUGGGAUUGCAGCCCUAAAUGGGUGGUAAACUUCAUCUAAAGCUAAAUAUUGGCGGGAGACCGAUAGCGCACAAGUA